rnacentral:rRNA from 1 species
AUGAACCCCUCCUCGGCCCCGGGCCCGGAUGGACUGCCAGUAUUGUUCUUUAAAACAUUCUGGCCGACCAUUAAGCCGGAGGUCAUGGCCCUCUUCGACGAGUUCUUCUCUGGAACCAUGGACCUGGGGCGCCUGAACUAUGGGAUCAUUACCCUCAUCCCUAAAGUUUCGGGGGCCUCGGACAUCCGCCAGUUUCGUCCCAUCACCGUGAUUAACGUGAUCUUCAGGAUCCUGGCCAAGGGGUACGCCAAUAGGGUGACCCUUCUUGCGGAUUCUAUUACCCACCCCAACUAGUCUGCCUUCAUCCAAGGCCGAUUCAUUUUGGAUGGGGUGUUAGUCUUCCACGAGGUCCUCCAUGAAGUUCGAGCGAAGCACCUCCGCGCGGUGUUACUUAAGCUCGACUUCCACAAGGCCCACGACAUGGUCCACUGGCCCUUCCUUUGGGAAGUUUUGCUUCGGAAAGGCUUCGACGACCGCUAG